GACGAACGCUGGCGGCGUGCUUAACACAUGCAAGUCGAACGGAAAGGCACUGCUUUUGUGGGGUGCUCGAGUGGCGAACGGGUGCGUAACACGUGAGUAACCUGCCCUUGACUUUGGGAUAACUUCAGGAAACUGGGGCUAAUACCGGAUAGGAGCUCCUGCUGCAUGGUGGGGGUUGGAAAGUUUCGGCGGUCGGGGAUGGACUCGCGGCUUAUCAGCUUGUUGGUGGGGUAGUGGCUUACCAAGGCUUUGACGGGUAGCCGGCCUGAGAGGGUGACCGGCCACAUUGGGACUAAGGUACGGCCCAGACUCCUACGGGAGGCAGCAGGGGGGAAUAUUGCACAAUGGGCGGAAGCCUGAUGCAGCAACGCCGCGUGCGGAAUGACGGCCUUCGGGUUGUAAACCGCUUUCGCCUGUGACGAAGCGUGAGUGACGGUAAUGGGUAAAGAAGCACCGGCUAACUACGUG
rnacentral:rRNA from 1 species